CGAGAAAGGCCCGAGGCAAUAAGCACUGCUAAUACUUAUAAUCCACGGCUAAACUCCGUGGCUCUCUCGC
rnacentral:tRNA from 1 species